rnacentral:rRNA from 1 species
ACGGGAGGCAGCAGUGAGGAAUAUUGGUCAAUGGACGGAAGUCUGAACCAGCCAAGUCGCGUGAAGGAUGAAGGUAUUAUGUAUUGUAAACUUCUUUAGCAGUGGAGUAAUAAGGGGAUCGCGAUCCCUGAUGCAAGUACACUGAGAAUAAGGAUCGGCUAACUCCGUGCCAGCAGCCGCGGUAAUACGGAAGGUCCGGGCGUUAUCCGGAUUUAUUGGGUUUAAAGGGAGCGUAGGCGGUAUUUUAAGCGUGUUGUGAAAUGUAGAUGCUCAACAUCUGAAUUGCAGCGCGAACUGGAGUACUUGAGUGCGCAGGAAGUUGGCGGAAUUCGUCGUGUAGCGGUGAAAUGCUUAGAUAUGACGAAGAACUCCGAUUGCGAAGGCAGCUGACUGUAGCGUAACUGACGCUGAAGCUCGAAAGUGCGGGUAUCGAACAGGAUUAGAUACCCUGGUA